rnacentral:rRNA from 1 species
UUCGCAAUGCCCGAAAGGGUGACGAAGCGACGCCGCGUGGGUGAAGAAGGCCUUCGGGUUGUAAAACCCUGUCAGGAGUUAUGAAAUGUAAGUGCGCUAAUAUCGUGCUUAUUUGACAAAGGCUCCAAAGGAAGCCACGGCUAACUCUGUGCCAGCAGCCGCGGUAAUACAGAGGUGGCGAGCGUUGUUCGGAAUUAUUGGGCGUAAAGAGCACGUAGGUGGGUUUGCAAGUCAGAUGUGAAAGCCUUCUGUUCAACGGGAGAAUUGCAUCUGAAACUGCUAAUCUUGAGUAUAGGAGGGGAGAAUGGAACUUCUGGUGGAGCGGUGAAAUGCGUAGAUAUCAGAAGGAACGCCGGCGGCGAAAGCGAUUCUCUGGCCUAUUACUGACACUCAGUGUGCGAAAGCUAGGGGAGCAAACGGGAUUAGAUACCCCGGUAGUCCUAGCUGUAAACGAUGGGCACUAAGUAGA